UACGUAGGUGGCAAGCGAUACUCGGAAUCACUAGGCGUAAAGCGCAGGUAGGAGGUUUAGUAAGUCUGUUGUGAAAGCUCCCGGCUUAACUGGGAGAGGUCAACGGAAACUGCUAGGCUAGAGUGCGGUAGAGGUAGCUGGAAUUCCCGGUGUAGCGGUGAAAUGCGCAGAUAUCAGGAAGAACACCCGUGGCGAAGGCGGCUCUCUGGAACGCAACUGACGCUGAGACGCGAAAGCGUGGGGAGCAAACAGG
rnacentral:rRNA from 1 species